rnacentral:rRNA from 1 species
GAAAUCAAACUCCGAAUACCAGAAGCGAGUCCGGGAGAUAGACAGCGGGGGCUAAGCUUCGUUGUCGAGAGGGGAACAGCCCAGACCGCCGAUUAAGGUCCCUAAUUUUAUGCUAAGUGGGUAAGGAAGUGAUGAUUCGAAGACAGUUGGAAUGUUGGCUUAGAGGCAGCAAUCAUUUAAAGAGUGCGUAACAGCUCACCAAUCGAGAAUCAUUGCGCCGAUAAUAAACGGGACUAAGCAUAAAACCGACAUCGCGGGUGUGUCGAUAAGACACGCGGUAGGAGAGCGUAGUAUUCAGCAGAGAAGGUGUACCGGAAGGAGCGCUGGAGCGGAUACUAGUGAAGAUCCAUGGCAUAAGUAACGAUAAAGGGAGUGAAAAUCUCCCUCGCCGUAAGCCCAAGGUUUCCAGGGUCAAGCUCGUCUUCCCUGGGUUAGUCGGCCCCUAAGUUGAGGCGUAACUGCGUAGACGAUGGAGUAGCAGGUUAAAUAUUCCUGCACCACCUAAAACUAUAGCGAAGGAAUGACGGAGUAAGUUAAGCACGCGGACGAUUGGAAGAGUUCGUAGAGCGAUGAGAACGGUUAGUAGGCAAAUCCGCUAACAUAAGAUCAGGUCGCGAUCAAGGGGAAUCUUCGGGGGAACCGAUGGUGUGGAGCGAGGCUUUCAAGAAAUAAUUUCUAGCUGUUGAUGGUGACCGUACCAAAACCGACACAGGUGGGCGAGAUGAAUAUUCUAAGGCGCGCGAGAUAACUUUCGUUAAGGAACUCGGCAAAUUAUCCCCGUAACUUCGGAAUAAGGGGAGCCUUUUAGGGUGACUAUGGAACGAUAGGAGCCCCGGGGGGCCGCAGAGAAAUGGCCCAGGCGACUGUUUAGCAAAAACACAGCACUAUGCAAACCUCUAAGGGGAAGUAUAUGGUGUGACGCCUGCCCAAUGCCAAAAGGUUAAAGGGAUAUGUCAGCUGCAAAGUGAAGCAUUGAACCUAAGCCCUGGUGAAUGGCCGCCGUAACUAUAACGGUGCUAAGGUAGCGAAAUUCCUUGUCGGGUAAGUUCCGACCUGCACGAAUGGUGUAACGAUCUGGGCACUGUCUCAACGAAAGACUCGGUGAAAUUGUAGUAGCAGUGAAGAUGCUGUUUACCCGCGAAAGGACGAAAAG